rnacentral:rRNA from 1 species
GUCGAGCGCGACCUACAUACAGAGAGAAGCAGACGGGAGAGUCAACGUGGGAACAAACCCUUCGGUUCGGAAUAACCCAGGGAAACUUGGACUAAUACCGCCUACGUCCGAAAGGAGAAAGAUUUAUCGCCGAAGGAUCGGCCCGCGGCUGAUUAGCUAGUUGGUGAGGUAACGGCUCACCAAGGCGACGAUCGGUAGCUGGUCUGAGAGGAUGAUCAGCCUCACUGGGACUGAGACACGGCCCAGACUCCUACGGGAGGCAGCAGUGGG